CCUCUUGGGAGACGGAGUUCCACUUCUACCACAGAGAGGAAGGGAGGACACAACAAUAAACACACUGACAUUUUGACUGAUGGCGAUCGGCUGCUGCUCAUAAUAAUGUCUGGAACAGAGAGACAAUGGAAUGGCAUCAAACUCAGGGAGCGACGGCUAGCCUAGUGGUUAGAGUGUAGGGGCGGCAGGUAGCCUAGUGGUUAGAGCGUAGAGGCGGCAGGUAGCCUAGUGGUUAGAGCGUAGAGGCGGCAGGUAGCCUAGUGGUUAGAGCGUAGAGGCGGCAGGUAGCCUAGUGGUUAGAGCGUAGAGGCGGCAGGUAGCCUAGUGGUUAGAGCGUAGAGGCGGCAGGUAGCCUAGUGGUUAGAGCGUAGAGGCGGCAGGUAGCCUAGUGGUUAGAGCGUAGAGGCGGCAGGUAGCCUAGUGGUUAGAGCGUAGAGGCGGCAGGUAGCCUAGUGGUUAGAGCGUAGAGGCGGCAGGUAGCCUAGUGGUUAGAGCGUAGAGGCGGCAGGUAGCCUAGUGGUUAGAGCGUAGAGGCGGCAGGUAGCCUAGUGGUUAGAGCGUAGAGGCGGCAGGUAGACUAGUGGUUAGAGCGUAGAGGCGGCAGGAAGCCUAGUGGUUGGAGCGUUGGGCAAGUAACCUAAAGGGUUGCUGGAUUGAAUCCCCGAGCUGACAAGGUAAAAAUCUAUCGUUCUGCCCCUGAACAAGGCAGUUAACUCACUGUUCCUUGGUAGGCCGUCAUUGUAAAUAAGAAUGUGUUCUUGACUGACUUGACGAGUUAAAUAAAAAGGUAAAAUAAAAUAAAUAAAAGAAAAAAAAGAUACCAUUCCACUGAUUCCACUCCAGCCAUUACAACGAGCCCAUCCUCCCAAAUGAAGGUGCCACCAACCCCCUGUGAUUACAGUCAAGACAACAGA